UACGUAGGGCGCGAGCGUUGUCCGGAAUUAUUGGGCGUAAAGAGCUCGUAGGCGGCUUGUUGCGUCGACCGUGAAAACCCGGGGCUCAACUUCGGGCUUGCGGUCGAUACGGGCGGGCUAGAGUUCGGUAGGGGAGACUGGAAUUCCUGGUGUAGCGGUGAAAUGCGCAGAUAUCAGGAGGAACACCGGUGGCGAAGGCGGGUCUCUGGGCCGAUACUGACGCUGAGGCACGAAAGCGUGGGGAGCAAACAGG
rnacentral:rRNA from 1 species